UUAAGCGCGUCAUUAACCAUCCCUUCGGCAGUGGUAGCCAUUACCUGGGCAAACAGACGCCCCUGACCGCCCAUCGCUUCAUGAAGUUCCGGAAGCACAACAUCCAGCGGUUUUUUACCCGCGGCGAUAAUGCUUGGGUUAGUGGUCACACCCGCCAGCGGAAAAAUACGUGACAGCGCCUUCACCGCAACAACGUCUGAAGUAUCCAGAUACAGUUCCAUAACCAUCCUCAAAAUGUACUUUUUGUCUGAAUGUAGACUAUCACGGGAAAACUCUCUGAACAGUUGAC
rnacentral:misc_RNA from 1 species